CUGAGUACUUCUUUCAUUAGGUAGCAGUGCAGGUCUCUCUACUAAUGCCUCUCAAUGAGUGUAGGAAUUUUGGGCCAGUAAAACACUGCACUACUCCCCAGAAGACUAAUUAAGGGAAUGGAAUGGAGAAUCAAACAGAGAACUGAAUGUUUACCAUGAGUCUGGAACAGCCCACAAGGUCCACAACAGAACAUGGAAGUCAUGAUUUAGGCCAAAGGUUUUAGUCUGACGUUGCAGCAGAGAUGACCCGCACCAUAGUCGGGGGCGGAGGCAGAGUGAGGGCAGCCAGCUUCAGCAGUGUUACUGAGCAUGCUCAGUCCAUGGAUCAGUCACAUUCUCUCAGUGCAGGGGCAUUGUUGGUGUCUUCAUUCCAAAAUGUGUGGAUGGAUGAUCUAAGAGCACUGAGAUGAACACCCUGUUCAUUCCCUGGGUGUGACUCUCAGUGGUUAACAAUAGCUGUACCCCAGUUCCUGAAUCCUUUUGAAGUGUUCCCUUGUAGCAUGCAGCUCCUUCUUCACUGAACACUCACAGAAAUACCAGGUCUGCUGUCCUCAAAGGAAUAGUGUACACACCAGUUUGUAUGAUUCAACUCAGGAUGAGCUUGUAUAAGACCAUAGCACUGAGAUAUGUUUAUAGUGAAAACAGCAGUGAGUUUAUCAUCAAAGAUUCAAGAAAUAGUUAGUAAGGAUAAUGGAACUAAGUUACAUAUGAAACAAAAUCAUAACACACUUUCUAGAGACUAAAUAUAACAGGCUAACCUCCUGUCUAAAGAAGACUUGUCUUACUCAGUCUUUUGCAGCAUUUUCCACUGACAUAGGCAGUUACAUUUUCAUGAAUGUAAACACAAUGCCCAUUUACUUCCUAGGUGCAAGAUAAAGGGGUGUCAUCUUUGUCUUCUAUUUACAUCCCUGCAACAGGGCAGCAACACACAGGAAAAUAAGCUAAAGAGGUAUCCUGACUCCAUUUCU